UACGAGGGGGGCAAGCGUUGUUCGGAAUUAUUGGGCGUAAAGCGGGUGUAGGCGGGCUUAUAAGUCAGGUGUGAAAUCCCAGGGCUCAACCCUGGAAGUGCACUUGAUACUGUAAGUCUUGAAUGUGGUAGAGGUUACUGGAAUUCCUGGUGUAGUGGUGAAAUACGUAGAUAUCAGGAGGAACACCGGAGGCGAAGGCGGGUAACUGGGCCAACAUUGACGCUGAGACCCGAAAGCGUGGGGAUCAAACAGG
rnacentral:rRNA from 1 species